GCAUCUUCUUAACAUCACAUAACUGAGAAAAAUGGCUUCCCUCAACAGUGCAGAGACAACUACUUGAGAUUUGAACAGUCAUGACACAAUAACUUCAACCUACACAACGACUAAUUUAGAGAGGCAACCUACAUCAUUCACAGCACGACAUACUAGAAAAAGACGCUAGACAACAACAUUCUUGCAACUAGAUAAUAGAUAAUUGUAAUGUUGAAUAGAACAUAUGGCAUCGAAGAGCUUCCCAUAAGAAAUCCACUUCUCAUACCGCGAAAAGAUCUUAACAGUUUUCAUGACUUCACAAAGGAUAAACCUCAAUAACGCAGGUGCAAUCAAGGGCGUGUUCUCUUGCUGCUGGUGCAAGAUGGGCACUUGUACUGCUUGAUAUGCUCAGCCCUGGCAGGAGUGAUUUUAACACACUUCCCAUGGAACCAUACCUCACAUAUGUCACAGCAGAUCCAGAAUUCAUCAGAUGCAUAGUUUUCACCACAAGCACCACAUAGUGUUUCUCCUUGCUCAUCAUCUUCAUCCAAACCAUCUUCAUCGUCAUCUUUUGGUUGUGGUCUUGAAUACUUGAUCUGAGAUUCAGAACCACGUUGUACCACCUUUGAGUUUGACUUAGACUUGGUGCUGCUGUGAUUUGACAUUGAUGACUUGUCUUUUGAUUGUUUCUUGGCUGUCCCAGACACAACCUCGAAAAUUGUAGGGAGAUCAUUUAUCAUAUUGAACAACCUUCUCCUGCAACUCAAGAAAAAAUAGCUACUUAGACAAUAU
rnacentral:misc_RNA from 1 species